rnacentral:rRNA from 1 species
UAGUCCGUACGAGCGCACCCUUGUCCCUAGUUGCCAGCACUUCGGGUGGGAACUCUAGGGAGACUGCCGGUGAUAAACCGGAGGAAGGUGGGGAUGACGUCAAGUCAUCAUGGCCCUUAUGGGGAGGGCUACACACGUGCUACAAUGGCCGGUACAGAGGGCGGCGAAGCCGCGAGGUGGAGCGAAUCUCAGAAAACCGGUCGUAGUCCGGACUGCAGUCUGCAACUCGACUGCAUGAAGCCGGAAUCGCUAGUAAUCGCGGAUCAGAACGCCGCGGUGAAUACGUUCCCGGGCCUUGUACACACCGCCCGUCACACCAUGGGAGUGGGCUGUACCAGAAGUAGGUAGUCUAACCUUCGGGAGGACGCUUACCACGGUGUGGUUCAUGACUGGGGUGAAGUCGUAACAAGGUAGCCCUAGGGGAACCUGGGGCUGGAUCACCUCCUUU